UCCCACCCCCCUUCCCACUCCGUUCAAAUCUUCUCUCGUAUGUAUACCCUCCGAAGCCCCUCAUUCCCCUCCCACUCCAUUCAAAUCUUCUCUCCUCCUUUAUUUCUAUAUAUAAAUCCUCUCCGCUCUCCCUUCUCUUCUCCGUCGGGAGCUCCCUCUAGACAAAGAUAAGGAGAAGGCAAAGAGGAGGAGGCCAAGAAGCGGAGGAGAAAGAAAAUAAUCUAACGUGGGGCCCGUCCCCUCGACGUCAAACGCAUAAAAAUUUCUAUACGGACUCGCCUCUACCGUCCAUGGCGUCCGACGUGGAAAACAGAACGGCGGAUCGGAGACCGCACGGAAAUUUAAUACGCGCAUUUAGAAAUUGUUUAUCGGCAAGCGCCUCAGGCUGUACAGAGAGAAAGAGGAGAAAAAAUUGCCAAGUUUUCGAGAGAUUUCCUUAACCUAUAUGUUCAUGGUGACAAGGAGGGAUUCUUUCAUCGUGCAGAAGCUGAAGCAAAGCGACUUUCUAACACUGGUUGUUGUCCCAACCUUUAUAACAGACAUGAAAUGCUUUUGGAGUAAAUAUUCUACACACCAUUGGCUAUGUGUAUGCAAGACAAGCAGCAAAAGAGCUUGGGAAGAAUGUCUUGUAUCUAGGGGUGCCAUUUUUGACAGAAUGGGUGCUUUGCAAUUGUUGCAACUGCAAGAAGACAUCUGCUGCCAAAUCAACAAAGUUGGUUCUGGUACUGAAAAAGAUGUUGAGUUACAUGUCCGGAUGAACAAGGGCUUGCUGAUGAACUCGCUAUGGAAACUGAAUGCAGUAGAUAUUGAAGUAACACUUUUACAUGUAUGCCAAAUGGAAAGCUACUAGUUGUGUUUGGCUUGGUCCACAUGUGGCCUUAUUUUGAUCCCGAGUAUGAAAGUCUUGCCCGACUUAUGAAUCUUGCAAGGCCUUCUCUCUCUCAACACCAUGGCGCUGGGCACUCACACCCCAGAAUGAGACAAAGACCUAAGAGGCUAAGACUGCAGCUAAGUGAAACUUUUCUUUCAAAUCUAAUUGGUAUGUGGAGAGUAAUCUUGUAUUAGCCAAAGAAGAAGGGAUAUAUGUCUUGAUUACAGACUAUGUUGAGGGUUGUCCAUGAUACUGGAUCAGCCUUGCCCCAAAUGAUCUAAGCCAGCCUUGUGCGGUACCACAGACAUAUCUUAUAGUAUGAUACCAAUAUAAGUCAAUGAUUAGCAAAUGGCUUCACAGGGGCAAGGUGGAUAACAUAUAUCACUUCCACAUAUAAUGGCAUGGUCCACUUUGUCAACGUUCAUAGUUUUAUUAUUUCUCUCGUUUUUUUUUUUGUGUGUGCAUGUGUGCGCGCAUGCAUGUUUGCGAGUAUUGCAUUUGCAUAUCUAGUAAUCUCGUUUUAUUACUUGGUUCUUGCAGAGCAUGUAUAGACAAUACUGCCUGCAGUGACUGCACACUGGUUAAGUCUGCCACCCAUGUUGGCAUCAUCCUUUCGAUGGAUCACCUGAAUUCCAUGAAAGUGGCUUCUAGGCGCUAAUUUUCCUAUAAAUGUACCGAGCUGUUGGAAGUGGUGCAGGUACCGAGCGACCUGGACCCUAGUGAAUGUUAGGAGAGAAAUGUGGAAUUCCCACCAUAAUAUACUGUUUCAAUUAUGGAACAUUUUAGGAGAGAAACAGAAACCUCUUGAAAAAUAUGCUGGAGAAAGGACCAUUGCCUGGCUUGAUAAAGUAAGAAACUCAAAUGAUUCACUGUCAACUUCAAAAAUUCAUCUCAACAUGCAACGGGUAAUGCAAAACAAUGCUGCUGUUUUUCGAACUCAAGAAACACUAGGAGAAGGUUGUCAGUUAAUUGACAAAGCAUGGGAGAGUUUUCAUGAUGUCAAAAUUUGUGAUCGGAGUUUGAUAUGGAAUUCUGAAUUAAUAUAAACAGUAGAGCUGGAAAAUCUUCUAAUAAAUGCAUGUAUAACUACGCACUCAGCUGAGGCAAGGAAGGAGAGUAGAGGAGCUCAUGCUCGUGAAGAUUUUACGAAAAGAGAUGAUGAGAACUGGUUGAAACAUUCACUAGGGUCAGUAUCUAUUAUCUCCUAUCUGACAUUAGCAUCUCCAAAGCUUACAUUGCUUCCGAUGGCAGAUGGUUGGUGCACCUUAGGCUCAAAAAGGCACUCUGAUCGCUAUAUCGAAAACAUCCCUUUCCUCGAAUAUUCAGGCCUCUCCCUAUGGCCCCAGUCUGCCCCACCCCGCCGCCACUUCUUUGGACCCUAAUAUCAAUGGGUAAUAGAUUCUAGGGGCAUGGCGGCGGCGGUAGAACAGUCCAUGCAGAGCCAUUUGCAGAAAUGGUUCUGACAACUGAUUGGAUUGCAUAAUUUGCUUUUUCUUUGCUUUUGGUUGUGGGCUGAACGCAGCGUUCCAUGUGACGGAUCGGCUAGAAAGAAAAACAAAUGGAUUGAAGACCAUGGAGUACAUUCAGAAGGUAUGGCACUGCCCUCAUUUUUCUUUUCUUUUGUUUUCUUUUUUCCUAUCAAUUGAUAUUACCACAGUUGACGGCAUAAGAUAUAUGUUUCUUUUAGCUGCUGUAGCGGAUAGAGAGCCUAGAUUGAUAUACUUAUUGAAGUAAUUAAGUGGGUUCCUUGGAGAUCUUGAGGGCCUUUAGGACAUAAGUGACCAAGUUAAUAACAGUUUUGUUUUUAUCACAUGGUAUUUGGUUUUAGUGAUUGUCUUGGUGAAUUUUGUCAUCAAAUAUAUGGAAAGGAACAUGAGGUGCGCGGCCUUAACAGAGUAGUAGCCUUGUGGCCUCUCACUUUGUGUCGAGGAUUGGCAGAAAAUACAUAUUCUUGCUUAGAGAACUUUUUCUGUUAGAAACUUUGAUGUCUUGAUUAUUUCAGUAAAUUAUAUAUAGCUUUU